UGCGUGUUGUUUUUGCCUCGACACCUGGAGUCCUGCUCAGUCCUAUCGUGUCUUCGCUCCACAGAGAGGUGGAGAAAGAGAGAGAGAUAGCGAAGGAGGUGGUACUGUUUGUUAGCAUGUACGAUUCGGAUUCGAUCUUCCCUGCGUAGAUUGGCUGAACGCAGAAAGCCUUGGAGAUUUCAGCUUGGGAAAGCUUUCGCAGUGUUCGUUUUGGGAGGCAGAAGGCCUCAACUAAGGCUAUUCAGGGAUUCGAGAGAAGGAGGAAGACCAUAACAAAGACGUACUUCGUUGGCUGAGAAUUGCGCAACCGAUUUGCGGUUGGAUAUAACUUUGUUUAGUAUUGAUUUCAAAACUCUCCGAGCUAAUCCAGAUUCUUGAUCUAUACCCAAAAUGACGUUGUAUCUCUAAGGGCAGGAAACCAUCCGGUUCAAAUUGUUUGAUCAAAGUUUUUGAUUCGUUUUUCAUUGCUGGUCAGGAAGCUGGAUUUAGAAAUGGAUAGAAAGAAGGAAUGAAAGAAAGAGAGAGGUCCGUUCGAUCUUUUGUUGUUGGUUGCUGAUCAAAGGAUUGUUGAUAGGGAGAGAAUUGUGUGGUUAUUCAACUGCGAAUUGUUUAUCUAUUGCAGAAAUGGAUAGAAAGAAGGAAUGAAAGAAAGAGAGAGGUCCGUUCGAUCUUUUGUUGUUGGUUGCUGAUCAAAGGAUUGUUGAUAGGGAGAGAAUUUUCAUCUGUUCUUUGUUUGUCGGGUUAAAAGAUUAUUCCCAACCACUAUCUUGCUUCAAGUCAUUUUCUUCAGUGAGUACCAGACCCAGCAAGGGUAACCAAAGCACCACAGCAAGUAAGUUUUCAAAUGUUGCAGAUAUAUAUUCAUCAGGCUUCAUCAUGUACUCAUCAAGUGUGCUUAAUAUCUGGAUGAAGAUUCAUAGUUGAAGGCUACAGACUUUGGCCUGUCAGAUUUUGUGAAACCAGAUGAAAAGUUUUAUCAAAAUUGUUGGUAGUACAUACUGUGUAGCCCCCAAAGUGUUACAUAUGGCUUAUGGUACAGAGGCUGAUGUCUGGAGCGUAGGUGUGAUUGCACACAUUCUAUUGUGUGGCAGCUGUCCAUUUUGGCCUUGAACGAAGUUUGGCAUUUUUCGGGCAGUUCUAAAAGUUGAUCCAAGUUUCAAUGAACCACCUUGGCCACAUUCUCUACAGAGGCAAAAGUAAUUUUGUCAAGCGCCUAUUGAAUCAAGACCCACGGAAAAGAAUUACCACUGCACAAACGUGAAGUCAUCCCUGCCUUGAACAUCAUAACACUGUUAAACUUCCUCUGGACAUAAUAAUAUUCAAGCUCAUGAAGGUUUAUAUGCGCUUAUCACCUCUCCGCAAAACUGCUUUAAGGGGAGUUUUUUGCUCAGCUUUCCAGGUUGGUGUAUCAACAUGGUGUCUUAACAUGACAGGGCCGAUUUUUGUAUCUAUGUUCAAGCCUUUGGGGAUCGUAGUUGCAGUUGCCACUGGUUUUGGAGUGUAGCAUACUCUUUACUCUCUGGGUUCAGAAAAUCUAGAAAGAAAGCACGGGCUAUCUAGCUUAAUUUUGAGUUUAACUACCAAAAAAGAUAAUUGUUGUUUAUGUACUCUAAUCGACUGAAAACACGUAUCAAUAACAAAGAGACCCGCAGCAAAGCGCGGGCUAUCUGUCUAGUUAAUAUAGAAGCAGUCACGCGGAGUGAUACAACU